GACGAACGCCGGCGGCGUGCUUAACACAUGCAAGUCGAACGCUGAAGCUCAGCUUUUGUUGGGUGGAUGAGUGGCGAACGGGUGAGUAACACGUGAGUAACCUGCCCCCUUCUUUGGGAUAACGCCCGGAAACGGGUGCUAAUACUGGAUAUUCACUGGUCUUCGCAUGGGGGUUGGUGGAAAGGGUUUUUCUGGUGGGGGAUGGGCUCGCGGCCUAUCAGCUUGUUGGUGGGGUGAUGGCCUACCAAGGCUUUGACGGGUAGCCGGCCUGAGAGGGUGACCGGUCACAUUGGGACUGAGAUACGGCCCAGACUCCUACGGGAGGCAGCAGUGGGGAAUAUUGCACAAUGGGCGCAAGCCUGAUGCAGCGACGCCGCGUGAGGGAUGGAGGCCUUCGGGUUGUGAACCUCUUUCGCUCAUGGUCAAGCCGCAACAAUGGUUGUGGUGAGGGUAGUGGGUAAAGAAGCGCCGGCUAACUACGUG
rnacentral:rRNA from 1 species